CGGUAAUACCAGCUCUCCGAGUGGUGUGGACGUUUAUUGGGCCUAAAGCAUCCGUAGCUGGCUGAACAAGUCCCCUGUUAAACCCACCGAUUUAAUCGUUGGCUUGCGGGGGAUACUGCUCGGCUAGGGGACGAGAGAGGCAGACGGUAUUCCCGGGGUAGGGGUGAAAUCCUAUAAUCCCGGGAAGACCACCAGUGGCGAAGGCUGUCGGCUAGAACGCG
rnacentral:rRNA from 1 species